rnacentral:rRNA from 1 species
UGCGAGUUUAGGGGCUCCUUCGGGAGCACCGGCGGACUGCUCAGUAACACGUGGACAACCUACCCUCGGGUGGGGGAUAACCUCGGGAAACUGAGGCUAAUACCCCAUAGGCCUCGGAUACUGGAAGGUUCCGAGACCGAAAGCUCCGGCGCCCGAGGAUGGGUCUGCGGCCUAUCAGGUAGUUGGUGGUGUAAAGGACCACCAAGCCUACGACGGGUACCGGCCCUGAGAGGGGGAGCCCGGAGAUGGACUCUGAGACACGAGUCCAGGCCCUACGGGGCGCAGCAGGCGCGAAACCUUCGCAAUGCGCGAAAGCGCGACGAGGGGAGCCCGAGUGCCCUUCCUUUCGGGAGGGCUUUUCUGGAGCCUAAAAAGCUCCAGGAAUAAGGGCUGGGCAAGACGGGUGCCAGCCGCCGCGGUAA